UCUCUUAAGUAAGGGCAUAGUCAAUUAUAUAAAAACAUAAAAACAUAAUAAAUUCAUCUUUUGAACAUAUUGUUAGAAUACAGCCAUGUAGAGAAGUGCCUAAUUCUUAAAGUGACCAUGCUUAUUUCAUGAACAAAGUGCAUAUUAAAAAAAAAAACAGUGUAUUUUUAAAAAACAGUGAGUUUUAGAAAAAAAGUGAAUUUUAGAAAGACAAUAAAUAUCUCUUAAAGUGACCAUGCAGUUAUUGUCAUAGUGAAUAUGCAGGUGAUUAAUUUUAUCGAAUAAUUACUUUUGGUUUAAAGAUUCUUUUUUUUUACAAAUCACAGGUACGGCGAUGGGUACUAAGUUCGCUCCAAGCUAUGCAAAUUUGUUCAUGGCAUAUUGGGAAGAAAUAAUAGUCACCCACAAUGCACAAUUUGCGAACUUAGUAUCCUAUCGCCGUUAUAUUGACGAUAUUUUUUUUAUAUGGAAAGAUAGUGAAAUACAACUCAUCAAGUUUUUGGAGGAUUUAAAUCAAAAUGAGUGGGGAAUUUUUUUAACGUCUACGUACAGUAAAAAUCAAAUUAAUUUUUUAGACUUAGAUAUUUUUUUAGCAGAAUCUCAACUACAUACAAAAAAUCAUUUUAAAGAAGUAGACGCAAACAGUUAUAUUGACAAAAAUAGUUGUCACCAUACCCCUUGGUUAGAUAAUGCCCCUAAGAGCCAGUUUUUAAGAAUACGACGUAAUUGCACCCAAGACAAAGACUACACAACACAGGCCGAAAUAAUCAGAGAACAAUUUGUAGAAAAAGGAUACAAUCCAAUAGAGUUAACAACCUGUAUGGAAGAGGUCAAAUUAAUAAAGAGAAAGGAUCUGAUUAGAUAUAAAGGGAACACAAAAAAGAAAAGAGACCUGAAAAAAACUGGUCAAUUAAAAAUUCCCUUUAUAUGUAAUCACAGUGGAA